rnacentral:lncRNA from 1 species
AGAUUUCACCUGCAACCACAGCAAAGAGAUACGUUCUAGCCACUGCAUGAUCAAAUGUUCAUGCAGGGUUCCUGACUGGCUCUGUCAGUUAUCCUGGGCUUAGCGCCAGAAGUUGGAACACGAUGGACAUGCUUGGGAUUCAGUUGAGACAUGAUUGACAUGUUGACUUCUACAGGUGGUUCAGCCAAUCACCAGCCUAUUUCCUUUUGAAAGGUGUUCUAACGGACAGAUGGCAGAAUAUAAAGGGCUGAGAAUUCCACCCUGCCUCUGAGUUGGUCAGAAGCCUUGGGCAGAGAAGGAGCUAUUUCUCUCCCUCCCUUGGCUUUAGNACCUGAAACUCUUUGGUUCCCUUCGAAGCCACAUCAAACCAGAGCGAGAGGUCUGCAUCAUGAGGCUUCUCAAAUGGAUAAGAAAAUACUGCUGCUGCUGCUGCUGCUGUUGUAGCUCCUCACGCAGCAGCCAGAAGAAGAAUAAGAAGGGGAAAAUAAAUAACACGUUUAUCGGUAAGUUAGUCCCUCAGGACUCCCACACAAAAUAAGAACCUCAGGUACUCCAGAAGUCCUCCGCAGUCUCACAGUACGGUUAUGGGUAAGAACGUGCUAUUGAAAGAGGAUUAGGGAGCCAAUCGUGCUGUCAUUCAGAACUGGGAACGUUUCCUCCCCUUUCUUGCCUCUGAAAUGCACAGGUAGAGGUUCUCCAGGUGGGGAAAAGGCCUUGAUCCCACCAGGCCAUUCGUUUCAGGCUUGCCAGCCACCACUGGCAGCCGGUGUCUCUGGAAUCCAAAUGGAGCCUUUACCCAUAUGGUCCCUAGAGUAUUACAGGUGUAGGAGCAGUUCCAACUGGUGGGAAGCACAGAGCCAAGUGUGCUUCUAGAAGUCACAAUUCAGAAUCUCUUCUAGAUCUUGAAGUGUGUGAGGCAUCGCUGGAACCUGGGGAAAACAGAGCCAUUGACAGUGGAACCGAAGCAGAGGAGGAAGAAUCUUUUCAAGAAAAUGGGACUAGCAAUCGACACGAGUGUGAGACGUCGCUGGAAUCGGGGGAAAACGGAUCCACAGACAGCACAACUGAACCAGAGGGGGAAGAAUCUAGUAAAGAAACUACGGGUAAGUCAAGCGGGGACUUCGGGUGCUAUGAGCUUUAGAAUUCCUACACUGAUAUUCCGAAAUGCUUCUUGACCAACAUUCUAGA